rnacentral:rRNA from 1 species
UACGUAGGGUGCGAGCGUUAAUCGGAAUUACUGGGCGUAAAGCGUGCGCAGGCGGUUCGUUAAGUCAGAUGUGAAAGCCCCGGGCUCAACCUGGGAACUGCCUUUGAUACUGGUAGUCUCGAGUCCGGAAGAGGGGAGUGGAAUUCCAGGUGUAGCGGUGAAAUGCGUAGAGAUCUGGAGGAACACCCGUGGCGAAGGCGGCUCCCUGGUCCGAUUCUGACGCUGAGACGCGAAAGCGCGGGGAGCGAACGGG